rnacentral:pre_miRNA from 1 species
GCAUGUGGUACUUUGCUCCAGAUGUGGCAAUCAUGCAUAAUGAAACAUGAUUGACUUGUCUGAAGUGAUAUAACACAUGA